rnacentral:rRNA from 1 species
UACGUAGGGUGCAAGCGUUGUCCGGAAUUAUUGGGCGUAAAGAGCUCGUAGGCGGUCUGUCGCGUCGGACGUGAAAAUCCAGGGCUCAACCCUGGACCUGCGUUCGAUACGGGCAGACUAGAGUUCGGUAGGGGAGACUGGAAUUCCUGGUGUAGCGGUGAAAUGCGCAGAUAUCAGGAGGAACACCGAUGGCGAAGGCAGGUCUCUGGGCAUUAACUGACGCUGAGGAGCGAAAGCAUGGGGAGCGAACAGG